AGCUCCAAUAGCGUAUAUUAAAGUUGCUGCAGUUAAAAAGCUCGUAGUUGGAUUUCUGGUCUGGUGCGCCUGGCCCGCUCCGUAAGGAUGUGAGUGCCGGGUCGCGCCUGCCAUCCUUCUAGAGAACGUGUCUACCCUUCACUGGGCCGGAUACGCCAUCUAGAUCUUUUACUUUGAAAAAAUUAGAGUGUUUAAAGCAGGCAUUUGCUAUGAAUACAUUAGCAUGGAAUAAUAAUUUAGGACUUCGGUUCUAUUUUGUUGGUUUCUAGGACUGAAGUAAUGAUUGAUAGGGAUAGUUGGGGGUGCUAGUAUUCAGUGGCCAGAGGUGAAAUUCUCGGAUUCACUGAAGACUAACUUAUGCGAAAGCAUUCACCAAGGAUGUCUUCU
rnacentral:rRNA from 1 species